ensembl:lncRNA
CGGGGCGGGGCGGCCUGGAGCGGGGAGCUGCGUGCCGCAAGUUUUGCCCGGAGUGCCAAAGUUGGGCUCAGCCCAGGUUCCUGGAAACUUGAGGAGCAAUCUUCUGUGCCUGAAGAAUGCAGUUCUCACCGGAUGUGUGUAUCCUACAUGAAGGGGAACAGAAGCAGGAUCAGCUGGGGUCCAGGAAAGACAACUUCAGGAGAUUUGAGAGCACUCUGGAGUGAACCAGGAGGAAGCCUUGAACUACAAUUGUGUCAGUAAGAGUGGCUGUCCUUGGGAGAUGCUGAAGCUCAGCUUUAUCAUGAACUUUUCUUACACCCCUCAACAUAUGCACAAAGGACUUAAUUUUGUUUGGGAUUCAUGUGGUAUGAAAGAGUCAUGGCUGUAUGGGUUUCUUCCUCCCUUCACUUGAUGUCUGUAUGUUUCCUGCAGUCAGUAAUGAAGUCUGUACAAGGUCUGCUGACAUUUGGUUUGCUUUCAAGAGCUCUGAGUGACAGGUACUGUAAACAUCCUACACUCUCAGCUGUGGAAACUAAGAAAGCUGGGAGAAGGCUGUUUACUCUCCCUGCCUUGGAAAUCAUCUGGAGGGCGAGGAUGGAACGUUGUGAGCUCUGUGUUCAUUGUAUUUCUGACAGCCUGUAUUUCUUAUUUUAUGUUUGGUGUCAGUAAACAAAUAAUAGCAUUAUAUCAUGCCAUCAAGCUCUUGAGUUCUGACUGAGGCUUGAACUCAUAAUAAUAAUUUUAAAAAAGGGCCUUCUGUACAAUACACUUAGCUGCAGUCCUGGCUUGAGGGAAACGCAAAUGGUAGCAGUAACACACAACAAGACCUUCAUCCUUAAAUACUGGGUAAAACAGACCUAUUUUACUGUUUGUUACAAGUUAGUGUGCAUGUUUUCAGGUCCACACAUCAGUGGUGUCUUUUGUUAAAGUCCUCCUUAAAUGUUUGGGUCUUGUGUUCACUCAAUUUAUGUUUUCCUACCUAGAGAGACUAGAAACAGAUGUCUGAAGGCAAAAAAAGGGUUCUCGGGGACUUCAAGUUUCAGUUCCUAUUUGAAGAAAUUGAGAUAUCAACCCCAGGUAGCUCUGUUUUUGAAUAAACUAAAUUAAAGAUGCAAAAGUAUUUAGCUUGGGUUUUAUACUAGCUCUUCUCUGCCACCUGCCAUCCAGACUGAAUUAUUGUUUGUACUUUUCUUGGCAAUCUUUCUUCUUUCUCUCGUUUCUAUUUCCCAUUAGUUAAGUAGGGCUUCUCAUUUUAAAUGUAGAAUAAUUUUUUACUUUCAUUUUAAAUCCAAAAUCGUACUGGCAUGGACUAAAUCCUCAUAAAAUGUACUUUUACAGCUAUUCUUAAGCAGUGAUGUUGGCAGAAAUGCUAUUAUUCAUGCACUUUCUUUUUUUAAAUUUAUUGGAGGGAGCCAUCUUUUGUGCUUUCAAAGAAUUUCUUCGUAAUUCAGUUAAGUGCAAAGAUAACCUUUUCUCUAUCGUCAUAUUUAAAGAUCUGCUGCUUUAGACUUUUAGCAAAAGUAUUUAAACAAAAAAGCUCUGAUAUAAGAAAUGUCCUAAAGAUUUUAAGUAAUUGGAUUUGGGAAGUGAUGGAAGUGGAAAGAGAACAGCAGAAUGGUAGAUCUUGUAAGGUUGUGAAAUAGUACUUCUGCAAAGUGGUCAAAAAAGGGAAUUCAAACAGGCAGAUCUUUAAAGAAAAGAGGGGUGGGAAAAGUCCGUGUUCUGAAGCAGUAAUUAUUUAGGAAAAGGAAGUGGAGGGAAAGAAAGUCCUGGGGUCCAGUAAAGUACCAUAGACAGGGUUUAAGAUGAUGAGAUGAGGUCUGGCUUUACAUAAACCUGAAGAACUGGUGUUGAUGAGGUUUUGGCUCUUGAUAUGUACAGUGAUACUACAAGUGAGGUUAGUCUUAUAAAAAGAUGGUUUUAUGGAGAAAUGAGUUGUUCAGACUAGUAAAACGAUAGAGGGUAGCAUUUCCUAACACACGUGGUUCCCUCAGCAGAGAGAUAUCUCCAACAGUGAUGGAGCACAGAAUUCUAUCCUCCAUCCUAUGAUAAUUCUGAUUGUAGGCUGUGCUGUUGAGAACACAGUUUCUUGAAAGGAGACGUCAGCUUUAAUAUGUGUUUUACUGUCUUUUUUGUUUUUAAUAUAGAUUUGCUUUAGGCUAGGAACCGCUGUUUUCUGUCAGAUGGAAAAAUCUAUGUUUAGCAUUAUCUAUUUGCUGUCUAAUGGUGAAAUUCCAGCUUUCGUUUUAUCUGUGUAAGUUGGGACUGUUGAAGCUUUUCUCAUACGUUUUUCCUUGGCCAUUCUUUCCUGUGGUUUCACUUGUGCUGGUAUUAAUGUUUGUUUAAACAGUGAGCUUACAGUGGCUCGACUCAGCUGAAAAUUAAACAAGCAAACCAGCUUUUAUCUGGACCAGAUGAGUAAUAGCUUACUGCACUACCAUGGUGCUGUGGCCAAAAUGCUGAUACCUUCAAACAUGUCCACCUUUCUGAAGGGCUAGAACAGAUUUUGCUGUAAAUAAGACCAUCGAAUCCUAAUGCAAUGAGAGAGUGAAAACACAGGAUUUUGAAUGCUCUUGUAUUUGGCAGUAGAUUGUUCUGUUGAUGCUGUUUGAAAGCAAUUGCCAGCAUAGUGCUGAAAUAAAUUUGGAUUAAAUUAUCAUGAUUAAAACUUUUGAUUUCUUGACAGCUAUCUAUGCUUCUGUGUCUUUGAAAGAUUUGUUUAUAAAGUGUAAUAAACAAAUUGUGUUGGUAAUGAGGAGCUACCAGUAAUUUUGCUGCCUCCAGAUCUUUAACUGUAAAGGUAUCUUUGGAUAUAUUUGCACCAGACAAAGCAUUGUGUAAAUUGCAUUAUUUCUAGGUCAUGUUUCGGUCUUUUUCCAUAAGUAUCACUUACCAAGCCAAAGGCAAGCUGAACAUUCUUUUCUUGUGCAAAACUCAGAUUUCAAGGAGUUUAAGACUUUCCAAUCAACUAAACAUAGAACUUUCCUAUUGUGAAAAAACAUACUCAGCUUUUUCAAAACUGUUGCCAAUAAUGAGUUUUGGGUUGGGUCCUUAGGUAAUCUGGAGAGCUACCGCAGCAAAUUGUCUGUGGGAAAUCUGUGAUUGGAGGCAUGGGCAAAAUCUGUGAUUGUAGGCAUGGGCCUUUUGCUGUUUUUUUUUUUUCUUAAUGAGUGUUCUGCUAAGAUGCAAAAGUGACUUACUCUGUGUGAUUCUUGGCACUGCUCAGGACGGUGUCAUUCUUGUGUGCUAAGCUCAACGUGUUCCUUGGAUUGGCUGAUUGACUUUUAAAUGAGGAAGAAGACAUCUUACUAAUUAACCUUUUCCUUACUGCUAAGCAUUAAAGUGUAGGGGGUGAAAAUUACAGUACUCAAAUUUAAUAUAUAUGCUUCACACACGUGAAGCAUAUAUAUUUUUUUCUAGGCUACAUUUUUGAUUAUGUAGCCCCUAGAAGUAAUUACCUAAUAUCCAGUUUUGGUAGUGUAGGGAGUGACUGUGGGAAGAAAGAGUGCUUGGGAGUCCUUGGGCAAAGCUGUCUCUUGUUUGAAGAUUGCAGCCUGACCUUGGGUUUUACAAGUGGAAUAUUAGAGAAACAUUGCAUUAGAAGUUUCAAAGAGCUGCCAGUGGGGGAAAAGGGAGGUGAAGGAGAAAGAGAGGAAGAGAUGUGGGUUACUUGUCAUACAAAGGGGGGGGGAUAAUAUCCAGCUCAUUUUCAGUGCAAAUGAUUUCUUGAUAAUACAACAAAAGAGCAACAAUUGUCCUUGAUGCUUAUACAAAAGUUGAGGAUUUCUUUUAUGCAGUAAAUCUGACUGUCAGGGACUCUAAUUCAGUGUGUGAGAAUUGAAAGGUUUGUGACAAGCUAUUGUACUUUGAAGACCUCUAUUUUAAAAUCAAAGAAAAAGAUUGCUUUGAAUGAGAGAGUGGAAGAAUAAGGCAUUAUAUGGGCUUCAGUUACAACUGCCCCUGAAAUUAGUGGAUUCUAGACUUGAAUAUUUUCUGAGCUGUGAUGGAGAUAAACAUGUAGAAGCAACUCUCUGUGUACAAAAAAUAAACAGGUGUAACAUCUAUAAUAUAUUUGGAAUGUGUAAUAGCAUUAGUUAUUUAUUAGUUAUAUAUAUAUAUAUAUAUAUUAGUUGUUAUAAUAUAGUUUGGAAUGUGUAAUAGCAAAGUCAACUUAGUUAAAUUUAAAACAGAGCAAACACCUUGGCUUCACUUCAUGCUUUCUUCAAACUUAGGUUUUGUUCUUUGUGCACCUUCCUGGAUGCUUUUUUUUCCUCUUAGAAAAGCACUUUACUAAACAGAAUGCUGAAGCUUCUUUUAUUCUUGUGUGCAACUUUGCUUCUUGUCAGCUCUGGGCUCUAUCCAAGACCCACUCAGCUACAGGUAGGCUUUUGUUCCCUUAUUUUGCUUUGGUUUUGUGGAUGUUAGUGUGAAUUAAAUGGAAAUAAGCUUUUGUAGCAAUUGCUUUGUGUAACGAGCAACAGUUAAACUAAUCACUGCAGUCUAUGUCUAUGAAGUGUCUCAGAAGAGAAGCUUAGGGCUUGCUUCUUUUAAAUAGUGUAUUAUGAUGGCUAAUUGCAUCUUAUCUAAUUCUUCAAGAGGGAGAGUAGAGUGAGGCUGUGUUGCCUUAGCUUUACAACACUUAACUCCCCUCCACAGGAGGAAAUAGUUCUGUUCCUGCUGCAGUUAAUGGGAAAUUCUUGUUGCUGCCUCUAUCCUGUUCUUGAGGUGCUGAAAUAAUAUGGCAGAGCAAGAGACUGUGAUCCUGGCUUUGGAGAGAACCUUUGCACUUCAUUUUCUCUUUUGUGAAAGAAAAUGAUGCUUUCUCACAAGUUGCUCUUUCAGAAGCUCCGAGCUCUUGCCCAGGAUAAACAACCACACUGUGCUGCUGAGUACUGUGCUUGGAACCUUCACACCCAAAUGCAGUCAUUCUAAGGAACAGCUUUGCUCUGUGGACAGACUCCUUCCUUCUGUGAGUAACAGGGUGGAUAGAGAAACAGAUUAACCUUGCACUAUACUAAAGCAACUGUAGGAACAACAAAAUGAGUGUUCACAGCUCAGGAAAAUCUGGAAUUUCAAAUAAACCCACUGCAUUGACCCAGGCACAGUUUGGCAGUCGUUGCUACAGGGUGUUCAAAUUAAACAAUGAGGUUCCUGGUGUGAUGGAAAAGACUUUGCAAAGCACAUUGGUUCCUCCAGGAUCCAAAUGCACUUUCCCUUUCCAAGGGGAGCUGUGGGCAUUUGGAUCCUUGCAGAGAAGUUCCUGAGGCCCUCUAUCAGCAAAACACUUUUAAGCAUGUCCUUAAGCACUUUGUGGAUGAAGGGGAGACAUGAACUCUUAAUUAUCUGUGCUGAAUAAUAAUCUGAGAGGUUACUUGAGUAUCUUUUCUAACACUUAUACUCUAGCUCUGCCCCAAAAGGCUGAGCCCAAGAGGCCAGUGCUUUACCCUCCGGCUGCAUUUGCCUUCUGUGAAUGCGCUCACUAGCCUUCAAGUAAAUGGGGCCGAUAUCUGUCUCUCUGUAGGAAUUUUGCCUGUCCUGAGUGCUUACCAGCUUAGAAGAAUAGACAUUGUGCCUUAUUCAGCUUUAACGGGAGCAGUGUCCAUCUUAUCCAAAUACCGCCGAGUGGGGGGUUAUUAAAUCAUCUGAAGGAAAAAUGAAGAAUGAAACUAGAAGGGGAUCUGGCUUUCCCUUUCACAUGCUCACAUCUGUAGCAGAAGUGUUGGUGGAUGCCUCAGCCCUACGGCACAGCUGGCACUUUGGAGCCCUUCAUGGGAGGCAAAGAAAGAAAGAAAAGAAACACCCCCAUUCCCCCACCAAAGCAGCGAGUGAUUGCAGCUGUUCUCGAGAAGGGUUGUGUCAGCACAACGUGCAUAGCCCUACUCAGAAAGUUGGUGUCAGCAGCCGUAAAAGCUGGCCUGUCAGCAUUUCUGUUGUAUUUCAUACACAAGAUGCAUGUUACUGAACAAUUACACCGAAGGCGGAGAAUAUUCCUUGGGAACACAACUUGGAAGUAGCAUCUUCCUGUGGGAACAGUUCAGACUGUGUGCUGCAGAAACCUGAGUGGUUUGGAUGCAAGGCCUUGCUGCUGGGGCUCACUGCAAGCUGUGUGGGCUGCCAAAGCCAUAGUGCCACAGCCCAGCCGGGAGCCUCAGCCCAUGUAAUUAGUCAGGUCCUGGUAAUUCUAAUGAGCUUCUGAUCAUGCCAACACAUUUAGUGUGAGGGAAGCUGGGUGAUGCUUAAGUUUUUGGCCUCCGAAGCCUUCAGAGGGUAUAUAUAACUCUAGCUUUGUCUACCGGUCUCAAUGUGUCAUUGUGCUGUAGCCACUUUAAAGGGCAGGAUGGAGAGCUGGGAUGGAGUUCUCAUCUCUGCUUACUGGGAAGCAGAAAUUAAUUAAGGAAAAAGCAAAAACCAAACCCAAAGCAAGCAAAAAGUCAUGCUCAGAGUAGUUAAGGAAGCAGGAGGAAAGGAGCAUAAAAUCCCCAGGCACUCGCUGUUGAUUUGAUCUCUAUCUGUGUACAGGAGCUUGACUAAUUAAUUACAUGUGGCUCCAAGUCUGUUUUCUGGAUCUCUUGCAGACCUCUGGAUGCUGCAGUGAUCCCAGUCGGCACAGAAGCUGCUAUGAUGCUGAGAUGUGUCUUACCACGUGUUGCCCACCUCCCAGCAUAGAGCUGCACAGAGCAGCAGGAUGCAUGAGGCUCUCUCUCCUCAACAGCCCUCAGUGGUGCUCCUAUGGGUUUGGGUGCUCGUGUGAGGCAGUGAGAGGAGUAUGAGGAGUGCUGCGUUCUGCUGGGUCACUGGUGCUGGGCAGAAACUUCAGCCCUAGGGGGGUGUAAGGCCUCAACAUUACUUUAUAGUAUAUGUACAUCUAGGAAACAAGGAACUACCACUAAUAACAGCAAAGUCUGUACCAAGAGCUCUGCAGCAGACAUCUGACCACAGCCGAAGCCACAUUUAAAGCAAGGCAGUGUCUCUGUAAGAGCUAACAUCAGUAUAACAAAGUGAUGCCAGAGGGAACAAGUUAGGAGAAAUGUUUCCAUGGAGUGGUAGUUGGUUUCUUUUCUCUUCCCCCCCGCACCCCUUUCUCCUUUCUUUUCCUUACAUCUUCCUAUUAUUUUUUUCAUCUUGAAUUCGUACUUAAACCUUUCCAACCUUUCUGAGAGUCAGGAGAAUGGUUCUGAGAGUCAGGAGCCCCUCAGAAAAGGUCAGACAACCCAAGUGCACGGCAUUCUGGCUUUCCCAUGGGCCUUCCAGUAGUAUGGCACUCAGUCAAAGCAAACAUGAAUUUUAUCUGUCAGAAGCAAGCUUUAAAGCUCGGUGAUGUGUCUAUAGCUUAAGGUACUUUUACUUUUUUGUGUUGUACAGGUUUUAUUUCUCUCCAUUAAACAUAAGCAGUCUUUUGUUUUCCUUCAUGAACCUGGUCAUUUUUCUAUAUGUUUCGAUGAGAAUUGCAUUGGGCUUCUCCCUGCCUUUCGUAGGGCAGCAUUGAUCUCUUUUUCCAUUUUGGAGAGAGCUGAAUAGAUGGCUAUGUCUAACGAGAGGAGCUUAUCCUUUGUGUUUACAGUUCAUUUCAGGAUAUCUUUCAGUAUGACUGAUCUAUAAAUGCUAAUUGUGGGUGAGGCACGUGGUAGGGGGACUUCUGCAGUCUUGCAGUUUAUGUAUAGGCAAUGCAUAUUGCUCUUCCUAAGGUUAAUAACAGAACUGAUUUUUGUGUGUUGCUCUUCUGAGAGCGACUCAAUCAUUAAUUUUUAGGCCUACAUGCAGGCAGAAUCCUGUUCAUCUCACAAAAUACAAAUAAAUGCUCUGAGGGCUAACUGCAGGAGUUUCUGUAUAAGCUAAAGCUUAACUCUGUAGGACACCACCCCAUCCCCCGCCCAGGAACUGAGCGGAUCAUCACGCCCAGCGUUUGUUUUCAACACCACCUUUGUGAAAGCACCUCAGCACAUCUGACUUGCAGGUUGCCUUCUCCCAUGUAGGCUCAUGGUGUCUCACGCUGCCCAGUUAGAGUGCUGGGUACCGUGGGGUUUUCACGACCUUCCUCAUCUGUCUGCAUGUCCUCCCUCGAGUUAUCUGGAAGCUGAGAUGUCUUCUCCACUGGUGUCCUCGAAGUGGGUUAAACUGGAGGACGGAAGCUCCCGAGAGUUUCUAAUGCUGUGGUCUUCCGACAACUCAAAUGAUUUUGGUGACUCAUAAGGAGACACAAAGGCCACCUUUUUCUCUGACUGUGAAAAUCAGAUGGCAAAACCCAACAAAUUAGGCCUGAAAGAACAGAAAAACCUCUCUUUGGUUGCCUGGGAGGGAGGAAAGGAUGGGGAUCAAUGGAUUCACUACAAAAGCAGUCACAAAGUUUCCUUUCUGUCCUGUCAUCCGUAGUGUCUUCAAAAACACUUCUUCCUGAGACAGAGCUUGAACUGGUUCUUUUUCAACUUCAGCCCUUUACGCUAUUACAACUAAUCCCCAGUGGAAAUAUUUCUUUUCCUUUCAUUACUUUUUGUGCGAAUAUUUAUACAGUUAUCUCGCUGUUUCCUUUAAUUUGUAUCCCUUUAGACCAAAUAAAUUUAGUUGCUGUCAUCUUGCUUUCAAAGUUGUAUUCUUAAGUAAUAAAGCAACAUUAAAUAUAGUUGGAAACAGACAACAUGAUGCACCUGAGGCUUCAC